GACGAACGCUGGCGGCGUGCUUAACACAUGCAAGUGGAGCGACGAACCAGGGCUUGCCCUGGGGCAGAGCCGCGAACGGGUGAGUAACACGUGGGUAACGUGCCCCAAUGAUCGGGACAACCCGGGGAAACCCGGGCUAAUACCGAAUGUACUCCCCUCACACCAGUGAGGGGUGGAAAGGAAGCUUCGGCCUCCGCAUUGGGAUCGGCCCGCGGCCCAUUAGCUUGUUGGUGAGGUAACGGCUCACCAAGGCUGCGAUGGGUAGCUGGUCUGAGAGGACGAUCAGCCACACUGGGACGGAGACACGGCCCAGACUCCUACGGGAGGCAGCAGUGGGGAAUCUUGCGCAAUGCGCGAAAGCGUGACGCAGCAACGCCGCGUGGGGGAAGAAGGCCUUCGGGUUGUAAACCCCUUUCAGGAGGGACGAAGCGUGGGCGGUUAAUAGCCGGCCCACGUGACGGUACCUCCAGAAGAAGCCCCGGCUAACUACGUGCCAGCCGCCGCAGUAA
rnacentral:rRNA from 1 species